ACUCAAAUGAAUUGACGGGGGCCCGCACAAGCAGCGGAGCGUGUGGUUUAAUUCGAUGCUAAGCGAAGAACCUUACCAGGGCUUGACAUGUAAGUGGUACUGAACCGAAAGGCGAGGGACCCGCAAGGGAGCUUACACAGGUGCUGCAUGGUUGUCGUCAGCUCGUGCCGUGAGGUGUUGGGUUAAGUCCCGCAACGAGCGCAACCCUUGUCGCUAGUUAAAUUCUCUAGCGAGACUGCCCCUAAAAGGGAGGAAGGAGGGGAUGACGUCAAAUCAUCAUGGCUCUUACGUCCUGGGCUACACACACGCUACAAUGGCCAGUACAGACGGUUGCUAAAUCGCGAGAUGGAGCCAAUCCGACAAAGCUGGUCUCAGUUGGGAUUGCAGGCUGAAACCCGCCUGCAUGAACGUGGAGUUGCUAGUAACCGCAGGUCAGCAUACUGCGGUGAAUACGUUCCCGGGCCUUGUACACACCGCCCGU
rnacentral:rRNA from 1 species